rnacentral:rRNA from 1 species
GACGAACCGUGCGAACGUUGUUCGGAAUAACUGGGCUUAAAGGGUGCGUAGGCGGGUCCGCCAGUCUGUGGUGAAAUCCUCCCGCUCAACGGGAGAACUGCCGUGGAUACUGCGGACCUCGAGGAAGAUAGGGGCGUGCGGAACAGUUGGUGGAGCGGUGAAAUGCGUUGAUAUCAACUGGAACUCCGGUGGCGAAGGCGGCACGCUGGGUCUUUUCUGACGCUGAGGCACGAAAGCGGGGGGAGAAAAAGGG